GAUGAAGAACGUAGCGAAAUGCGAUAAGUAGUGUGAAUUGCAGAAUUCAGUGAAUCAUCGAAUCUUUGAACGCACAUUGCGCCCUUUGGUAUUCCAAAGGGCAUGCCUGUUCGAGCGUCAUUUGUACCCUCAAGCUUUGCUUGGUGUUGGGCGUCUUGUCUCUAGCUUCGCUGGAGACUCGCCUUAAAGUAAUUGGCAGCCGGCCCACUGGUUUCGGAGCGCAGCACAAGUCGCACUCUCUAUCAGCAAAGGUCUAGCAUCCAUUAAGCCUUUUUUUCAACUUUUGACCUCGGAUCAGGUAGGGAUACCCGCUGAACUUAAGCAUAUCAAUAAGCGGAGGA
rnacentral:misc_RNA from 1 species